ensembl:lncRNA
CAGGGGUUGUGUUAUUGUUGUAGUGGGAAGUUCUUCACAUCAUAAAUGCGGCCCUGGGAAACGCGACUUUGAGGAACUGAAACAUGCUUUCGAGAUAUAUACAUGACAUUAUAAAGUAUAUAACAAAUUGGUUUAAGAAGACACUGACAGCUGAAGAAACUGCUCUUGUCUGUCUCGUCUUGUACCGAUGACCUUGUCCUGCUCAUCCUUGACUCUGCCCACUCGUCUUGCCAGCCGCUUUUGUUGGAUUUUGAUAGCAGAGAUCGGGAUGGAUGAAUGACGGCCUCCCUAACUCGCCUGUGACUCUUUUGUUUCUGUUCAGAUGAGUUUGAAAAACACACACAGUCCAUUCAGAUACAGGUGUGUGUGUGUGUGUCCUGUGGUGUCAGUCUCUCAGCUGUGAUUACAAUGAGGACUGACCCUGGUGUCGUGGUGAUAG